rnacentral:rRNA from 1 species
GACGAACGCUGGCGGCGUGCCUAAUACAUGCAAGUAGAACGCACAGUUUAUACCGUAGCUUGCUACACCAUAGACUGUGAGUUGCGAACGGGUGAGUAACGCGUAGGUAACCUGCCUGGUAGCGGGGGAUAACUAUUGGAAACGAUAGCUAAUACCGCAUAAUAUUGAUUAUUGCAUGAUAAUUGAUUGAAAGAUGCUAUUGCAUCACUACCAGAUGGACCUGCGUUGUAUUAGCUAGUAGGUGAGGUAACGGCUCACCUAGGCGACGAUACAUAGCCGACCUGAGAGGGUGGUCGGCCACACUGGGACUGAGACACGGCCCAGACUCCUACGGGAGGCAGCAGUAGGGAAUCUUCGGCAAUGGACGAAAGUCUGACCGAGCAACGCCGCGUGAGUGAAGAAGGUUGUCGGAUCGUAAAGCUCUGUUGUAAGAGAAGAACGGGUGUGAGAGUGGAAAGUUCACACUGUGACGGUAUCUUACCAGAAAGGGACGGCUAACUACGUG